UUUUAGCCACUCGGCACGAAACUCGGAUAGCUGGUACAUCUGAGGGUCCACCAGAAGAACGGGAGGGACACUCGGGCUGCUGAAAUCCUGCUCGUUGAUUGAAGGGUCGCAGAAGGGGCAAACAGGGAGACAACGAAGCAGAAGGGAGGCAGAUUCCGAGAGCCCCGAAGGGCGGGGUGAGGAUUCUUUUACUGCGUAGGGGUAGGAGGGUUUAGCAUUCGAGGGUACAAUCGGGAGAAGGCUAAAGGGAGGGGAAAUAUAACAUUAACCAGUGGGGAAAAGGGAAAGGAGUGUUCUUGGUGGAAGAACCAAAGGGGAAACGUGGAACAGAGAAGAUUCUAGGCUAAGGGGCAGACUUGAACUAUAACUGACAGGACAGGGGGAGGGUACAAUUCUCUUACAAAAGGGGGUGGAGAACUCAUACAACUGCUGUUUCCCAUGGCAACCCUAGACUGCCUUCCCCAACCCCUCCUCCUACACCAGUGACAGCUUUUCACACUGAAGGGCAGUGCUAUUGUAUAACAAACACUUAACUCUUAGCCCAGCCGGGCUCGCUGGCUACUUUUGCAAGCUUUUUACCAACUAGCGAUGCUUGUAAGCGGUGCUUGUAACUCCUAGCUUGUACCACGCUCCCACUAGCUGCGCUAUCAGCUAGCGGCGUUCAAAGCAGCUCCUCAAACCGCGGCUUGUGCCCGCGCGCCCGCUGCGCUAUCAGCUGGGCUGCGCCUAAAGCACCUUUGCAAGCCCCGACUUAAGCCCCGCGCCGCGCUCCCCCAGCUCGCCAGAGACAGCCCGUGCCACGCAUGCGCACCACCCGCUCUAUCAGGUAGAGUGCGCACUACCCGCACUAUCAGGUAGUGUGGCUGAGAGCUGCCCCGCGCAUGCGCACUACCCGCACUAGCAGGUAGUGUGGGCUGAGAGCUGCCCUGCGCAUGCGCUCCCUAGCACCGCCGCGCCGCGUCUCUGUAUCGUAGCAACGCCGCACCGUUCCACUCACACAUGCACACACACGCACAAGCACGCACGUCCGGACGUAACAGACACACUACACUGCAAUCGGGACACACACCACACACUGAAAUCGCGAUUUCGCCCUCCCCGAGCCGCGCUAUCAGCUGGGGAGGUCCUCCCGCCGCCGGCCUCUCCCCCGAUGGCGGUCUGCUUGCAAGCCCCUAGGCAAACCUGCGCGCAAAAACAUCUUUUUGCGACUUAUCAGUGCCAACCUUAAGAAAAUAAAUUAAUACAUACCGCUUUCAUCCGCUAGUCGACGGGCCGUGGUCUGCUCCCCGCAGUGUACAGCCGAGGCGCAGAGUCCCUCCGGGGAAAAGCCCCGUGGCGCCUGAGGGUGUCUGCUCCCAACCGGACCUGCGGGUGAGCAGAGCAGUCCCUUCGUGGUCGCCAACUGAAACGAUACGCGGAAUAAAUAGACUCCAUAACCUGGGGUAGUUAUGAAGUGGACGUUCCAUAUGCAAAACACUGCACGACUUUUUCAUGCAUAUUCAACCCCUGGCCCCGCCUGUCCUCGCUUCUCAUGCUAAGUAAGUCCACGCCCUUCUGGGCAUGCGUGGUUUGCUGUGGUGGUCGUACGGGUGUCUCUUGGUGGUCCUGAGGCUGAAGAUUGUGGUUUUCCUCAUGAUUGAACUUUUGAACUUUUCCUCUCUGCGCGUGCGCUUUUAGUCCUUUGGUGCUUAUCUGAGUACGUCUGUCAGUCUUGAUAGGCUUGGAGACAGAGGAGCUUCUUUAUCUGGGUUCUUUGCUUCUUCUGGUAUUGUUCUUUAUGCAAGAAGCUUCAGAAAUUUGCAUUUUCCUUUGCCCUUUGUAUUAGGCAGAGGUUUCCUAAGCAAAAGGUAGAAAAUUCAACACAUAACUAUACAAGCUAAAUUAUAAAUGCUUAAUUCAUUUUGAUAACCUAAUUCUAAAAAUCUCUGUUUCACCUCGAGAGCUGUCACAGAGCAGAAGGGCAGAUGAGAUGCUGAAAAGCAGCAAAGCUGAACAGCCUGCCUCAGCUUCAGCAGUGUGCAAUUGACUGAAGGCGAAAAACCAAGCAGCAGAGCAGCAGGCUUCUGUGCGCACUGAAGGCAAUUGCAAGCAUGCAGCAGCUGCUCCUUGCCAAGCACAGGCAGCUGCCUAGGUUCUUGGUUCUUGACCAACUCACAGUUGCCCUUCUUUUCAGCAGCUGCCACCGUGUUCUCUGCAUCUCGCAGCCUCUGGGGAGCAACAAGAAUUUCCAAGGUGGGAUGCAUGACGACUAUGGCAAAACCCAGGAAAGUUGUCCUGGAACACCUUCCAUUGGCAUGCCAAGACUGAAUUCAACAGGCAGGAGAGCAGCAGCCACCGUCCUCCAGCUGUCUGCGAGCUUCGCACACAAGCCGGCUUCUUCGCGGCUUCGUUCUUCGCCUCUUGCAAGCUACCGCGAUCUCCGGCUGCCGGAGGACAAGAAGCGGCUACUUCGCGCACAGAUCACUGGAGCGGCAGCGGUGCGCUCCGGAGCGCCGCUUCUGCCGAAAGACUCCGGGAAGCGGCACUUGCUUUCGGCCAGCUCCGGAGCUGCGUAUUCUGCCUCUCUAGUCGCCUACAUCUUAGCCAAAAGCUUUUCCGCUCCAGUUCUCAAGGAGAAAGUGUACCAGCACUGCUCACUUAGCCCGACCUUGCCAAGAAAUAAGAUUUGCUGCACAUUCCAAGGACACUGCAUUUUCCUGGGCAAGCUGCAACCUUCUGGCAGAUGGCUGUGCUCUCUGCCCACUCCUGCCCAGUUCUUGGUACUAGCGGGCACGUUGCAGCCUGGCGAAGGCAAGAAACCUCUGAAACGAUACGCGGAAUAAAUAAAUAGACUCCAUAAGCUAGGGUAGUUAUGAAGUGGACGUUCCAUAUGCAAUACACUGCACAACUUUUUCAUGAGUAUUCAACCCCUGGCCCCGCCUGUCCUCGCUUCUCAUGCUAAGUAAGUCCACGCCCUUCUGGGCAUGCGUGGUUUGCUGUGGUGGUCGUACGGGGUCUCUUGGUGGUCCUGAGG